rnacentral:rRNA from 1 species
UUCGCAAUGCCCGAAAGGGUGACGAAGCGACGCCGCGUGCGGGAAGAAGGCCUUCGGGUUGUAAACCGCUGUCGGGAGUUAAGAAAUGUAAGGAUGUUAAUAGCAUCUUUGCUUGACUAAGGCUCCGGAGGAAGCUACGGCUGACUCUGUGCCAGCAGCCGCGGUAAUACAGAGGCGGCAAGCGUUGUUCGGAAUUAUUGGGCGUAAAGAGCACGUAGGCGGCUAUGUAAGUCGGUUGUGAAAGCCUUCCGCUCAACGGGAGAACAGCAUCCGAUACUGCAUGGCUUGAGUGCGGGAGGGGAGAGUGGAACUUCUGGUGGAGCGGUGAAAUGCGUAGAUAUCAGAAGGAACGCCGGCGGCGAAAGCGGCUCUCUGGCCCAUAACUGACGCUGAGUGUGCGAAAGCUAGGGGAGCAAACGGGAUUAGAUACCCCGGUAGUCCUAGCCGUAAACGAUGGGCACUAAGUAGAGGGGUUUU